UACGUAGGGUGCGAGCGUUGUCCGGAAUUAUUGGGCGUAAAGAGCUCGUAGGCGGUGUGUCACGUCGUUCGUGAAAACCUGCAGCUUAACUGUGGGCGUGCGGUCGAUACGGGCAUCACUGGAGUUCGGCAGGGGAGACUGGAAUUCCUGGUGUAGCGGUGAAAUGCGCAGAUAUCAGGAGGAACACCGGUGGCGAAGGCGGGUCUCUGGGCCAAUACUGACACUCAGGUGCGACAGCGUGGGGAGCAAACAGG
rnacentral:rRNA from 1 species